CUGUUUUGACGUGGUACUGCACAUGCGUAGAGAAGUAACUCGCUAAAAUAAAUCUCCGUCCAAGUAUUUCUCGCUACGCAGCUCGUCUACGUGUUCGUCUUUCAUCACCGCGUCUCUCACUUUCAAGCUUAACUUUCCUCAAUGGUGUGUGCGCAUAACUAUUUCUCAUAAGGAAGCCUUCGAGAGAUUCAUAUGCAAGACGGAUGAUCCCAGAGUAACUAUCAUGGCUCAAGAGGUACUCUUGGUGUCCUUGGGACCGCGAGCCUGGUCGAGUGAUGAUGCUUUUGGAUGUGCCCAAGACUUCCUCCUCCACGCUGGUGACGAGGCCGACCGAAGAUGAAGAGAAGAAAAUAGGAAAAAAAGGAGGAGGAGGAGGAGGAGGAGGAGGAGGAGGAGGAGGAGGAGGAGGAG